rnacentral:tRNA from 1 species
GGGCCCAUAGCUCAGUUGGAAGAGCCACCGGCUCAUAACCGGUCGGUCCCUGGUUCGAAUCCAGGUGGGCCCACCA